UUCUUGCUCUCGAGCCGAACGCCCUCUUCACCACUGGAUUUUGAGCACGCAUCAUAAAGCAGAGGACAGGGCCACGUCAGCUAGCGAGAUUGUUCGGGAAAUAGAAAGGUCGUCGCGAACGCCCAAACCACUCUGUUCCCUUAUCCAUCCCCGACCUCCCUCACUCCUCAGGAUCUUGUCGAGACGAGCGGCAACCCACGAUCCCGAGCAAGUUGCCGGGUGUGGGGAUGGUGAGCGGCAUGGCUGGGCUCCAGCGACGGCCGACGACUCCUCCGCGCAUCCCCACCAUGGACGGUCCUCCAACGCUGCAUCCCCGCCAGGGACGGCCGUCCCCAAACUCCUCCGCCUGGGACCGUCAGGUAGGCGGGAUGGGCUCGAGGCACCGGUGGUGGCUGGAGGAGAUCCGGUGAUAGCGGCGGCGAGGGUGUGGCACUGGCUAUAGGGGGCGCUCCAUGCGGCAUCCUUCCCGAGAGCGUGGGGCUGCUGAGGCUCUUCGGCUGGUCCCGCCGCUCAUGGAUCCGCCGACGCCCGUCUCCGAGUCAUUGGUGUGGCAGCGGCGGGGACGGCGGGUCGCUGCCUGCUGACGGCGAUGGCGCGUGCCUCGACGACGGGCCGACGAGGACCCCGAGCAGCCGUGCCAUUCAAGCCCUCUUCGGCUGCUGCGACCGCCUCAUGGUCGCGGCGGCCGCCGCCCAGGUGCUCGCGCUUGUCGUCUACGUCCAGCUCUUCAGUGUGACCAUCAACUCGCUCAUGGUCACCUGCUAUCUGAAUCGUCAAGCAGGUGUGCGCUUUGUCUUCACUAGCGAAUAGUAGCUAUCUGCUAGUUCCGUUUUUUCAUUCGUGGCUGAUAUGUCAACAGAACGAGAGAUGAUGCUACUGAGAUUUUUGCCUAAGUCAUGCUUUAAGACUGAACGUGAGUGUUGUAUUUGCUCAGAGAAGAGAAGAUGAUCAUAUUGAGAAAUUUGACAUUUUUUUGGUUCUUGUAAUCAUCAUUGAUAACACAUGGCAAAUUUAGAAAAAGUUCGGCUCAUACAUUAUGGCAAAAUGUAGAAAUUUUGUAUGAAAAGGUAGGGGACAGGAACUUGGGUGCAGAUUCUAAUUUUGUAUGGAAACCGUGGUCGAGUUCACAUUUGUUGCUAGUUCACAAUUUGUGGCAGAAUGCGUAUGAGGAUGCAACCCAUGUUGCAAAUUUUGUGUUGGCUCUUGCCAUGGCAAAUUGGGUUUCUAUAAAGUUUAAGUAGUUUUUGCA